rnacentral:rRNA from 1 species
UACGUAGGUGGCAAGCGUUGUUCGGAAUUAUUGGGCGUAAAGGGCGCGUAGGCGGUUUGUUAAGUCGGCUGUGAAAGCCCGGGGCUCAACCCCGGAGGGUCAGCCGAUACUGGCAGACUAGAGUACGGAAGAGGUAGCUGGAAUUCCCGGUGUAGCGGUGAAAUGCGUAGAGAUUGGGAAGAACACCAGUGGCGAAGGCGGCUAUCUGGACGGUUUCUGACGCUAAGACGCGAAAGCGUGGGGAGCAAACAGG